rnacentral:rRNA from 1 species
CGUCUAUAUACGUAUAGCAUAUCAAUAAGCGGAGGAAAAGAAACUAACAAGGAUUCCCUUAGUAACGGCGAGUGAAGCGGGAAGAGCUCAAAUUUGAAAUCUUCAAGGUUCUAGCCUUGACGAGUUGUAGUUUAAAGAAGUGUUUUCUGUUAGAGGAGUAGCAAAAGUUCCUUGGAAUGGGACAUCAUAGAGGGUGAGAAUCCCGUAUUUGGUUAUUCUUUCUAGCUUUGUGAUACACUUUCAAAGAGUCGGAUUGUUUGGGAAUGCAGUCCAAAAUGGGUGGUAAAUUUCAUCUAAAGCUAAAUAUUGGCGAGAGACCGAUAGCGAACAAGUACCGUGAGGGAAAGAUGAAAAGAACUUUGAAAAGAGAGUUAAACAGUACAUGAAAUUGUCAAAAGGGAAGCGUUUGACACCAGUGUUGUUUUUCCGAAAAUCAAUUAAGAGUGGCUUGAUUUUGUGUUGUAUUGACCUUAUCAGCUUUCUUCACUCUUUUUCGAGUCCUUUCUUAAUGCACUUUUCGGUUAACAAGUCAACAUCAAUUUCUUUUGUCGUAAAAGGGUCAUUGGAAGGUGGCUUUCUUUUCGGAGAAAGUGUUUAUAGCCUUAUACCUUCUACAAUCGGAGAGACUGAGGUCUGCAGCGUAGAUCCUUCGGGGUUAGAUACACUUUGUGCUAGGUUAUAGCUUUUCAUAGACAACUUGUUGACUAUGUUUAGUCAUGUAGCUUACCCGCUUGUGCUAUUUUACCUACGCUUAGGAUGUUGAGUCAUCACACAUCUCU